UACGGGGGGGGCAAGCGUUGUUCGGAAUUACUGGGCGUAAAGGGCUCGUAGGCGGCCAACUAAGUCAGACGUGAAAUCCCUCGGCUUAACCGGGGAACUGCGUCUGAUACUGGAUGGCUUGAGUUUGGGAGAGGGAUGCGGAAUUCCAGGUGUAGCGGUGAAAUGCGUAGAUAUCAGGAGGAACACCUGCGGUGUAGACGGCUUUCUGGACCAUUGUUGACGCUGAGACACGAAAGCGUGGGUAGCAAACAGG
rnacentral:rRNA from 1 species